AUGUGGGCACGGAGAUUGACAGCGACGAAGGUAGCAGACAUAAACCCAGCGACACCAGCAAUAACCCAUCUGAAUAUUUCUAUUGGCACAAUUGACAGAAGCUGUAACACAAAUGGAAAAGAAGCUGGAAUGAAGAUGAACAAAGAGUACCCAUACAGGCACCACAAUUGCACGAGUCCAGCAGGUGCUGAGAAGUACUUAAGAAUGACAUAUAACCCAAGGGGAACAAAUGUCACAUAG
rnacentral:rRNA from 1 species